CACCAAUCCCUCACCCGCUCGCGUCCCCGCGCUCACCUUCUGCUUCACCUUGGUGCAGUUGGGCAGGGUGUCCUUGCAGCGGUUGUGGAUGGUGACGUUGCAGGCUGGGGGACGCGGAGAGGUGACGGAGAGGCCACGGGGACCCUCCUGCCGCCCCUCCUCCUCCUCCUCCCCCGGAUCCCGGCAGAGCGACGGGAGCAGAUGUGGUGGGAAUGCGGGUGGAUGCGGAGCUGCAGCUGCCAGGGAGCAGCUGCCCCAACGCCGAGGGCACCGCGCCAGACCGGGGCCACCAGUGACAGGGAGCUGGGAUGUGCCAGGGUGGAGAAACCCUCUCCUCCUCCAGGCAACAAACCCGGGAGGAACCGGGCUCUGGGAAUGGGCACCGCGGUGCCCAUGCGGCAAAGCCACCGGGGAAAAGCCACCCCAGAAAAGGCGUCUUGGAAAAGCCACCGUGGCACAGUCAUCCUGGCAAGGCCGCCCCAAAAAAAAGCCAUCCCAAAAAAAGCCGCCCUGGCAAAGCCACUGCGGCAAAUCCAAUCUGGCAAAGCCACCCCAGCAAUUCCGCCCCAGCAAAGCCACCCCAAAAAAAGGCAUCCCAAAAAAAGCCUCCUCAGAAAAGCCACUGCGGCAAAGCCACCCUGGCAAAGCCGCCAUGGAAAAGUCACCCCAGAAAAAGCCACCCUGGCAGCUCCACACCGGAAAAGUCACUGCGGCAAAGCCACCCUGGCCAAGCCACCGCAGAAAUGUCAUCCUGGCAAAGCCACCAUGAGAAAGCCACCCCAGAAAAUCCAUCCUGGCAAUUCCAUUCCAGCAAAUCCACCCUGGCAAAACCACUGCAGCAAAGCCACCCCAGAAAUUUCAUCCCGGAAAAGCCACCCGGGCAUUUCUGCCCUGGCAGAGCCAACCUGGAAAAGCCAUCCCAUCAUAUCAACCCCAGCCCUGCCACCCUGGCAAAACCAUGAUGGGAAAGACACCCCAAAGGAGCCAUCCCCCCAAAAAAUAAAACACUGCAGCAAAGCUACCCUGGCAACUCCACUCCGGAAAAACCAACCUGGCAAAGCCACUGCAGCAAAGCCACUGUGGCAAUUCUGCCCUGGAAAAGCCAACCUGGCAAAGCCAACCUGGCAAAGCCACCCCAUCAAAUCCUGUCCUGGAAAAGCCAACCUGGCAAAGCCAACCUGGCAAAGCCACCCCAUCAAAUCCUGCCCUGGAAAAGCCAACCUGGCAAAGCCACCCCAUCAAAUCCACCCUGGCAAAGCCACCCCCAGCGAUGCCACCGUGUCACCCCUGCCCUGGCACAUUCCCCCUGGCAAAUCCCCCCUGGCAACCCCCAGCAGCGGGCACACGCAGCUGGAAUUUCCCUCCCGGCUCCCCCCCGGCACUCACUGGGGCACACCAGCGCUUCCUUGGCCGUGAUGCUCUUGUUGCAGGCGAAGCACAUGGUCAUGCCAGACACGGAGAUGGUGGUGAAGAGGUGC
rnacentral:lncRNA from 1 species